rnacentral:rRNA from 1 species
CAGCCGCCACGGUAAUACGGAGGGUGCGAGCGUUAAUCGGAAUUACUGGGCGUAAAGCGUACGCAGGCGGUCUGUUAAGUCAGAUGUGAAAUCCCCGGGCUUAACCCGGGAACUGCAUUUGAAACUGGCAGGCUAGAGUCUCGUAGAGGGGGGUAGAAUUCCAGGUGUAGCGGUGAAAUGCGUAGAGAUCUGGAGGAAUACCGGUGGCGAAGGCGGCCAUCUGGCCUAAUACUGACGCUGAGGUACGAAAGCAUGGGGAGCAAACAGGAUUAGAUACCCCGGUAGUCCCUGUCUCUUAUAC